rnacentral:rRNA from 1 species
GUCCACGCCCUAAACGAUGCGCACUAGACGGGUGCGGCUCUGACGCCGCACCGGUCGAAGAGAAAUUGCUAAGUGCGCCGCCUGGGGAGUACGGUCGCAAGGCUAAAACUCAAAGGAAUUGACGGGGGCUCACACAAGCGGUGGAGCAUGUUGCUUAAUUCGAAGCAACGCGAAGAACCUUACCUGGGUUUGACAUGCACGGAUUAGUCGGUGGAAACACCGGUGAGGCCCGCAAGGGUACAACGUGCACAGGUGCUGCAUGGCUGUCGU